AUGAGUCAUGGGGGGGUCCUGCUGACGGGCUUUAAAAGCCAGCAGUCAUCUCUUACAAUAACAAACACACCAAUCCAGCCCAUCAACCGUGGGAGACUUAAAACACCUUUCUUUUGUGUUUUCAUUCAGGAGACAUGCACGACCGAACACGUUGAAUGUCUUUCGGUAACACGUCAGAAGAUCUGUCUGAUAUCAAAUAUUUUCUCGUCUUAUGUUGCCAUGGCGAACAAUCAAGCUAAACAGAGUAGUGAGUGUCUCAGGCCGAGCAAAGGACAGAGCCGAGCUCAUAUCUGUCUUCGGUGUCCCGGUUCAGAGGGUUAGACGUCACCUUAUCUGCUGUCUCUUUACUGUCAGGUCCAGCUCUCCAUCCACCAACACCAGCUGAAAGACUUUUGACGUCUCAAAGGGAUUUUGAGAAAGCAAACAAAAUGUCUACAAAAAAACGUCUAUUGUUGGACUACUGUUGACAGAGGCAGGGAUCUGAUGAUUCUCUACAGCAGAAAUGAUUCUCUGCCAGUUCCUAGAACUGAAAUAGUUUUAUUAUUAAUAAAUAAUUGAAAAAUGUAUAUGUAGCAUUUCAUAUAAAUGUAUAUAUAUGUAUAUAGCAUUCAAAAUAAAAGUUUUUGUUUACAUAAUAUAUGUAUAGUAUGUGUACGGUGUAUAUUUAUUGUGUAUAUAUUAGGGGUGAACGUUGCCUCGGUUCGCGUGUCACGUUUCAAUACCAUUUUGGUACAACAGGAAAAAAAAUCUACUAUGCUUGGUUUCUUUUCAUUUAUUUUGAACAGACAGUAGUACAAAUGACUAUUUUUUUCCAGCUAGAUGUGAAAAUACUAAAUAUUAUUAUAUUUUUAAAUAUAUAUAAUCUGCAGUACAUAUAUACAUACAAGGAAUAAAUUCUUUAAAUACAUUUGAUUUAGUUUACAGAUAAACAAGGGAAAAAGUGUGACAUACCUGUAUAACAUAGCCUAUACUGUAUAUGCUGAGUUUCAGUUCAUUUUUGUGACAGGCUUAUUUGCUUUUGUUCACAGAAAAGAAACUCAAAUGGCAGAAAGCGUCAUCCUAUUUGUUUUCUUUAUUUUACAAAAGCACAAUGUUUUGUUUUCAUUGUGAGUGUACACAAAUAAAAGCAGACCUUCAUACGGUGAUGCAUUAUUAAUAAGACAAUAAGUGUGUAAAGUUGAUUCUGCUGGUAUAAGGAAAAACUUGAAGUGAUUGCGCCAGCAUGCACACACACACACAAAACACAUCAGUUCCAGCAUUGCUAACUUGACAGCACAGUUGGAACUUUAUCAAAAUAAAAUACAGUAAACCAAAAAUCAGCGCGCCUGCCUCUGAGUCUCUGUGGAACUGAAGUACAAAGCCUAUCAUUUACAUAAUAAAUGAGAGAGGUAGGAUACACGAGCACAAAGGUCCAUAUCACAAACAGUUGAGUGCACAAGUCUUUAAAGUAUACUCCUUUGUCAGUCUGUUAGAGACGCACUCAGAGUCAGCACAUGGUCACUGUCUAGUGGGCUUUGUUUUCAAAUGUGCAACUCACGACAUUCGCUGUUCUUUUGCUGGUGGCCGGUUAUCAAACCGCCUUGCAUUGCUGCACGCACCCCCUUCUGGAUUGGGGGUGAAUUGCCUGUAUUCGUUGUAAGGCCUCAUGCAACGAACCGAGAUGUCCGUACCAUGCAAUUCCGUACGAAUACAUGUAUCCUUCCACCCCUAGUAUAUAUAAAUACACAUACAUGCAUGUAUAUAUUUAAGAAAAUGUGUAUUGUUUAUAUUUAAAUAAAUUUAAUAUAACAUAAUGUAAGUUAUAUGAAUAUAAAUAUAUAUAUAUAUGAAUAUAAAUAUAUAUAUGUAAAUAUCACAUGUACGUAUAGAUAUUUUUAAAAUUAUUCACUGUAUGUGUGUAUAUAUAUAUAUACACACACAUAAUAAAUGUGCACAGUACACACAUAUUAUAUAAAGAAAAACUUUUAUUUUGGAUGCGAUUAAUCACAGUUAAUCGCUUAACAGCAAUUUCACAAGCUUUCAAAAUGUGUUGCAUAUGAGUAGUUAGCAGUUGUAAAAAAUUAGCUGGACAUUAAAGGUCAUAGUAAUUUAUAUGCAGAUGCUAUGACUGAUUGCUGCUGACUGAUGCUAUGAAUUGUCCCAUUGUAAAUAACAUCUGAUCUGUUGCCUGAUGAUGCUACAAUAUCUUUUUCAGCUCAGUGGAUAUGCAUGACUCCUAUCUGACCCCCAUAUGUCCGUGAAUUGUGAAACAGGAAGAGGAAGUCAGUAAGAUUCGCAUAAAUGAGUUACAGUAGAACGAUCCACCCUUCAGAGAGAGAAAGAUUUAAACUGUCCCUGAGGAAAACCGUCUCCUUUAACGGAAUGAUUGUAAUAGAAAAUAACAGGUUUCUGAUCAGUGGUUCUCAAGAAAAUCCAUCAAAACAUUCAGGCUUACCAGAGAAAUGAUGGUGAGAUUGGUUAGUUUGUUAACGUAUAUCACCAUAUUGUCCAGCAGAAUGUAAUACAGAAUGAAAGAUGAUUUUAAUAGCAGAGUAUCUGUCAGGAUCACAAAGAUAAAGAGCUUCCAAUUGAAUGCAGAUGUGUUUACGCCAUAAUUUUUUUAACCUGGGUUCAUCCAUGGUGUGUUCAACCCGGGCCACUUUGGACGACUGGUACUUGGUUCAUGUCAUUCACAGAUCUAUCCCUUCUCACUCGUCCACCGCCUCGCUGAACUGCCCAGCAUCUCCUGCUGUGGCUUUUCAAACUCCCAUGUUCCUGUCUGCCUUUCUCGGAGAGUAGCAGUGCGGUUCUCGUUUCGUUGUUGAGUGGUUUUCCCCUCUGUGUUACACAUGUAAUCAAAUCGUCAUCCAAACCACACACCUCACCACAAUGUCAGCGAAUCACCAUCACUCGCUACCAGAGCUGUGACCAAU
rnacentral:lncRNA from 1 species